GACGAACGCUGGCGGCGUGCUUAACACAUGCAAGUCGAACGGAAAGGCCCUGCUUUUGUGGGGUGCUCGAGUGGCGAACGGGUGAGUAACACGUGAGUAACCUGCCCUUGACUUUGGGAUAACUUCAGGAAACUGGGGCUAAUACCGGAUAGGAGCUCCUGCUGCAUGGUGGGGGUUGGAAAGUUUCGGCGGUUGGGGAUGGACUCGCGGCUUAUCAGCUUGUUGGUGGGGUAGUGGCUUACCAAGGCUUCGACGGAUAGCCGGCCUGAGAGGGUGACCGGCCACAUUGGGACUGAGAUACGGACCAGACUGCUACGGGAGGCAGCAGUGGGGAAUAUUGCACAAUGGGCGGAAGCCUGAUGCAGCAACGCCGCGUGCGGGAUGACGGCCUUCGGGUGGUAAACCGCUUUCGGCUGUGACGAAGCGUGAGUGACGGUAAUGGGUAAAGAAGCACCGGCUAACUACGUG
rnacentral:rRNA from 1 species